AGAGUUUGAUCAUGGCUCAGAUUGAACGCUGGCGGCAGGCUUAACACAUGCAAGUCGAGCGGUAACAGAUCUAGCUUGCUAGAUGCUGACGAGCGGCGGACGGGUGAGUAAUGCAUAGGAAACUGCCCAGUAGUGGGGGAUAGCCCGGGGAAACCCGGAUUAAUACCGCGUACGCCCUUCGGGGGAAAGCAGGGGAUCUUCGGACCUUGCGCUAUUGGAUGUGCCUAUGUCGGAUUAGCUAGUUGGUGGGGUAAAGGCCUACCAAGGCGACGAUCCGUAGCUGGUCUGAGAGGAUGAUCAGCCACAUCGGGACUGAGACACGGCCCGAACUCCUACGGGAGGCAGCAGUGGGGAAUAUUGGACAAUGGGGGCAACCCUGAUCCAGCCAUGCCGCGUGUGUGAAGAAGGCUUUCGGGUUGUAAAGCACUUUCAGUAGGGAGGAAAACCUUAUGGCUAAUACCCAUGAGGCUUGACGUUACCUACAGAAGAAGCACCGGCUAACUCCGUGCCAGCAGCCGCGGUAAUACGGAGGGUGCAAGCGUUAAUCGGAAUUACUGGGCGUAAAGCGCGCGUAGGUGGUUUGAUAAGCGAGAUGUGAAAGCCCCGGGCUUAACCUGGGAACGGCAUUUCGAACUGUCAGGCUAGAGUAUGGUAGAGGGUAGUGGAAUUUCCUGUGUAGCGGUGAAAUGCGUAGAUAUA
rnacentral:rRNA from 1 species